CUACGGGCGGCACCAGUAGGGAAUCUUCGGCAAUGGACGGAAGUCUGACCGAGCAACGCCGCGUGAGUGAAGAAGGUUUUCGGAUCGUAAAGCUCUGUUGUAAGAGAAGAACGAGUGUGAGAGUGGAAAGUUCACACUGUGACGGUAUCUUACCAGAAAGGGACGGCUAACUACGUGCCAGCAGCCGCGGUAAUACGUAGGUCCCGAGCGUUGUCCGGAUUGAUUGGGGUAAAGCGAGCGCAGGCGGUUAGAUAAGUCUGAAGUUAAAGGCUGUGGCUUAACCAUAGUACGCUUUGGAAACUGUUUAACUUGAGUGCAGAAGGGGAGAGUGGAAUUCCAUGUGUAGCGGUGAAAUGCGUAGAUAUAUGGAGGAACACCGGUGGCGAAAGCGGCUCUCUGGUCUGUAACUGACGCUGAGGCUCGAAAGCGUGGGGAGCAAACAGGAUUAGAUACCCUGGUAGUC
rnacentral:rRNA from 1 species